GCCGGAGUAGCUCAGCUGGUAGAGCGACGACCUUGUAAGUCGUGGGCCAGGGGUUCGAGUCCCCUCUCCGGCU
rnacentral:tRNA from 1 species